CCUACGGGAGGCAGCAGUGGGGAAUAUUGGACAAUGGGCGCAAGCCUGAUCCAGCCAUGCCGCGUGUGUGAAGAAGGCCUUCGGGUUGUAAAGCACUUUAAGUUGGGAGGAAGGUUCGAUGGCUAAUAUCCAUCGGAAUUGACGUUACCAACAGAAUAAGCACCGGCUAAUUCCGUGCCAGCAGCCGCGGUAAU
rnacentral:rRNA from 1 species